rnacentral:rRNA from 1 species
GACGAACGCUGGCGGCGUGCUUAACACAUGCAAGUCGAACGAAGUGGCGAACGGGUGAGUAACGCGUAAUCAACCUGCCCUUCAGAGGGGGAAAACAGUUGAAAACGACUGCUAAUACCGCAUACUGACGGGGGGGAUUGCGUCUGAUUAGCUAGUUGGAGGGGUAACGGCCCCCCAAGGCGAUGAUCAGUAACCGGUCUGAGAGGAUGGACGGCUACAUUGGGACUGAGACACGGGCCCGACUCCUACGGGAGGGAGACGUUGGGAAUCUUCCGGAAUGGACGGAAGUCUUACGUAGCACCGCCGGGGUAGUGAUGACGGCCUUCGGGUUUUAAAGCUCUGUUAAUCGGGACGCGGUACCGGAAGAGAAAGCCACGGCUAACUACGUGCCAGCAGCCGCGGUAAUAC